UAUUCAUGCUGGUGACUGUAACC
rnacentral:piRNA from 1 species